ensembl:scaRNA
GGUCGAUGAUGAUUGGUAAAAGGUCUGAUUGCACUUAACGUCACACUGCCUUCCCUGCCCUCAGCUCCCAGCAGCCCAUUUUUUCCCUCCUGUCACAUUUAAGUCAUGUGUAUGGGGUAAUGGAGCAGCUGAUAAUUUGGGAUUCUGUCAGCGUGUGUUUCUGAGAGUGAGCAGUGCACAGCUGACAAGCAUCCGACAGAACCGGCCGUACAGGAGAUUGGUGAGUGGCAGCCAUGGUUGUGAUGGUGCAUGAUCUGAAGUUUUCAAUCUGAGGCC